CAAACUUUCUAAAAUUGGAGGUAAAACCAUUAAGACAAAUACAAAUAAAUGUGAUGCAAAGUGUAUGACAGCAUGCAACCUUAAUCAAACUUUUAACCUGACAAAGUGUCUCAUAACUUGUAAAAAUUAUAAUUUGUGUGAACUUGGUUGUUUAUUGUACAGUCAUAUUAAAAAAAA